rnacentral:lncRNA from 10 species
UUUUACCCACAGAAAAUGUGGUCCCUUAGAGGAGAAGCAAGGUCCUGAGCCAAACUUUAUAAUGUACGUUCCUAGGAGGGAAAGCGAGGGAAAUUCAGUCCACCGCUCUGCCUGCCUGCCUGCCUGCCUGCCUGCCUGAGGAGUUGCAGUGCAGAGUAUCAUUGCAGCGCUUUUCCAGGGAGUAACGUGCUGCACUGGUUCAGGGCUUUGUCUUUAUUCACAACACAUUCAUGUGCCUCAGCAUGGGGGCAGCUGCACUGUUGCCUGCCAGCCUGUCCUCUUUGACUGCCGAAUGAACCAAAGGAUAACUCUCCAUUCGUGAGAGAGAGUGAGCUACAGAGGAAGAAAGACCACGCAAAAGGGAGGGGGAGAGAGGGGGGCGAAGAGGAUGUUCUCCGGCUCACUCCUACAUUAGGUCUCUGUGCAAAGGCAGAGGCUGUGGGAGCAGCAUCAAGCAAGACUUCGGGCAGUGAUUCUAACUAUUGCCUAUGAACACCGUGGCUGGGACGACUUUGACGAGGCAAUUUAUUACUUACGCAUAGAACACUGGCUGUGCUGAAACUGGGAGCGCAAACAGCCCCUUGUUUUCUAAUUUAGAGACUUGCAUCUUUUCGACACUCAACAGUAUCAAGACACUCUGCUACUACAGAAUCUUCUGGAGAGGAAAGAAGAAACCAUGUCUAGACAAGGUGCUGGAAAGACCCAGGGAAGACACAGGCUUUGGUAUCAGGAUGAUGCUGGCCUCACAAAAUGAGUUAGGGAGGAUUCCCUCUUUUUCUAUUGAUUGGAAUAGUUUCAGAAGGAAUGGUACCAGCUCCUCCUUGUACCUCUGGUAGAAUUCGGCUGUGAAUCCAUCUGGUCCUGGACUUUUUUUGGUUGGUAAGCUAUUAAUUAUUGCCUCAAUUUCGGAGCCUGUUAUUGGUCUAUUCAGAGAUUCAACUUCUUCCUGGUUUGGCCUUGGGAGGGUGUAUGUGUCGAGGAAUUUAUCCAUUUCUUCUAGAUUUUCUAGUUUAUUUGCGUAGAGGUGUUUAUAG